AACAUGUUUAAUUUUUUUUUUGAACAAGUAGUGCAUUGAUUUAGUUGUCAGCGUGUUUUGUGACAUAAUCUCGAAAAUCUAUUUUUAAUAUUUGUCAGUGUGUUUUUUGUUUUUUUGUGAAUUUGGUGGCACCGUCGAACAAAUGAUGCGACACAGUGGACCUUAAAGAACAGUCGAACUAAUCGAAGAAAAUAAUGAAAAUGUGUAUGAGGGCAUGGCCCUCCCAAUUGCAUGAAUCCUAACGAGUAGAGAUACGAAAUGAAAAGUGGAAAAGUGGAGCGGAGACGUUGUCGCCGCUACAUAAUCGACAAUAUCAGAUAAAAUUACCGACAAAAGAGACCGGUACCAUUGAACAGCAUACUCAUCUGCACGGAUCCAGACUCAAACAUCUUCCUGAGGUCGAUUCGAAAAUUCAUGCUUCUAAAUGACAUCGCUCGGAGCAACAGAAAUAGUCAACAAUUUUGCGGAAAAUGGUCUACAAUAUAAUUCAACAUUUAAAAUUAAAGGACAACUGUACCACAGAGAAAGCUAAAUGCUUCCAAUGCCAAACGAAGCACAUCAGUUUGUCAAAUAUACUUCAUGGAUGGUGAGGACCAAAAUCGCGCACUCACCAAUAGG